rnacentral:rRNA from 1 species
UACGUAGGGUGCGAGCGUUGUCCGGAAUUAUUGGGCGUAAAGAGCUUGUAGGCGGUUUGUCGCGUCUGCUGUGAAAAUCCGGGGCUCAACCCCGGACUUGCAGUGGGUACGGGCAGACUAGAGUGUGGUAGGGGAGACUGGAAUUCCUGGUGUAGCGGUGAAAUGCGCAGAUAUCAGGAGGAGCACCGAUGGCGAAGGCAGGUCUCUGGGCCACUACUGACGCUGAGAAGCGAAAGCAUGGGGAGCGAACAGGAUUAGA